CCUACGGGAGGCUGCAGUGAGGAAUAUUGGUCAAUGGACGAGAGUCUGAACCAGCCAAGUAGCGUGAAGGAUGACUGCCCUAUGGGUUGUAAACUUCUUUUAUAUGGGAAUAAAAUGUUCCACGUGUGGGAUUUUGUAUGUACCAUAUGAAUAAGGAUCGGCUAACUCCGUGCCAGCAGCCGCGGUAAUACGGAGGAUCCGAGCGUUAUCCGGAUUUAUUGGGUUUAAAGGGAGCGUAGGUGGAUUGUUAAGUCAGUUGUGAAAGUUUGCGGCUCAACCGUAAAAUUGCAGUUGAAACUGGCAGUCUUGAGUACAGUAGAGGUGGGCGGAAUUCGUGGUGUAGCGGUGAAAUGCUUAGAUAUCACGAAGAACUCCGAUGGCGAAGGCAGUUCACUGGACUGCAACUGACACUGAGGCUCGAAAGUGUGGGUAUCAAACAGGAUUAGAGACCCCUGUAGUC
rnacentral:rRNA from 1 species